rnacentral:rRNA from 1 species
GACGAACGCUGGCGGCGUGCUUAACACAUGCAAGUCGAACGGAAAGGCUCCAGCUUGCUGGAGUACUCGAGUGGCGAACGGGUGAGUAACACGUGGGUAAUCUGCCCUGCACUCUGGGAUAAGCCUGGGAAACUGGGUCUAAUACUGGAUAUGACCUUUCUCCUUAUGGGGUUUGGUGGAAAGUUUUUCGGUGUAGGAUGAGCCCGCGGCCUAUCAGCUUGUUGGUGGGGUGAUGGCCUACCAAGGCGACGACGGGUAGCCGGCCUGAGAGGGUGAUCGGCCACAUUGGGACUGAGAUACGGCCCAGACUCCUACGGGAGGCAGCAGUGGGGAAUAUUGCACAAUGGGCGGAAGCCUGAUGCAGCGACGCCGCGUGAGGGAUGACGGCCUUCGGGUUGUAAACCUCUUUCAGCAGGGACGAAGCGUAAGUGACGGUACCUACAGAAGAAGCACCGGCUAACUAUGUG